AUUGAACGCUGGCGGCAUGCCUUACACAUGCAAGUCGAGCGCGAAAGGGGGCAACCCCGAGUAGAGCGGCGGACGGGUGAGUAACACAUCGGAACGUGCCCAGUAGUGGGGGACAACCUCGAGAAAUCGAGGCUAAUACCGCAUACGACCCACGGGUGAAAGCGGGGGACCCAAAGGAAACUGAGGGCCUCGCGCUAUUGGAGCGGCCGAUGUCCGAUUAGCUAGUUGGCGGGGUAAGAGCCCACCAAGGCGACGAUCGGUAGCUGGUCUGAGAGGACGACCAGCCACACUGGGACUGAGACACGGCCCAGACUCCUACGGGAGGCAGCAGUGGGGAAUUUUGGACAAUGGGGCAACCCCUGAAUCCAGCCAUGCCGCGUGCGGGAAGAAGGCC
rnacentral:rRNA from 1 species